rnacentral:rRNA from 1 species
CCUACGGGAGGCUGCAGUGGGGAAUUUUGGACAAUGGGCGCAAGCCUGAUCCAGCCAUGCCGCGUGCGGGAAGAAGGCCUUCGGGUUGUAAACCGCUUUUGGGAACCGCGCGGUACCUGCAGAAUAAGCACCGGCUAACUACGUGCCAGCAGCCGCGGUAAUACGUAGGGUGCAAGCGUUAAUCGGAAUUACUGGGCGUAAAGCGUACGCAGGCGGCUUUGCAAGACAGGUGUGAAAUCCCCGGGCCUAACCUGGGAACUGCAUUUGUGACUGCAUAGCUAGAGUCUGUCAGAGGGGGGUGGAAUUCCACGUGUAGCAGUGAAAUGCGUAGAGAUGUGGAAGAACACCGAUGGCGAAGGCAGCCCCCUGGGAUAAACUGACGCUCAUGUACGAAAGCGUGGGGAGCAAACAGGAUUAGAUACCCUGGUAGUC